UGGGUUGUGGCUCAGUGGUAGAGCACUUGCCUGUCAUGCAUGAGGCACUGGGUUCAAUCCUCAGCAACACAU
rnacentral:tRNA from 2 species